rnacentral:rRNA from 1 species
UACGUAGGGGGCAAGCGUUGUCCGGAAUCAUUGGGCGUAAAGCACGUGUAGGCGGUUCGGUAAGUCGGCUGUGAAAGUCCAGGGCUCAACCCUGGGAUGCCGGUCGAUACUGCCGGACUAGAGUUCGGAAGAGGCGAGUGGAAUUCCCGGUGUAGCGGUGAAAUGCGCAGAUAUCGGGAGGAACACCAAUGGCGAAGGCAGCUCGCUGGGACGUUACUGACGCUGAGACGCGAAAGCGUGGGGAGCAAACAGG